NNNNNNNNNNNNNNNNNNNNNNNNNNNNNACAUCGAACUCUCAGCUCCUCCUGCGCCAUGCCUGCCUGGAUACUGCCAUGCUCCCACCUUGAUGAUAACGGACUGAACCUCUGAACCUGACUUUUAUUGGAGAUUGCUUCAGCAACCUUAGACUCAUUGAAGAAAUAAGAAACAUCAUAGAGAAGGCCUCUCAAAACUGACAUCCUGAACUGAUAAAUGACUCUUGCAUGGAUGAAUCCUUUCAGCUCCUUACAGAUUUGUAUCAGUUUGUGUAUAUGGUGGAUUAUGUUGAUGAAUUGAACAACCCCUGAAUCCCGGGAAUAAAUUCUACUUGAUCAUGGUUGAUGAUGUCUUUGAUGUGUUCUUGGACUUAGCUUGUGAUGAAAGACUAUGGGUUUCAUCAAAAUUAAUAAAGAUCUGAUCAGGAUUAAGAAAAGCUUACACAUAAAAGGCAUGACUCAAGGAAGGAAGAAACACAGAAAGACAACAAUGCAGAAAGCUGAUUCUCCUCUGUAUGAAAAGAGCUCAAAAAAUCAGCUGGAGAAGGACAUAUCUUCACAAGACUGGCAGACUGAAAGCCAUGAUGCUGAAAUAGAAAUUUGCUAAAGGACAGAUGAUCAAGACUGCAGUUAUGAAAGCUCAUUCCAUCAAUGGAUCUUCAUAAGUAAACAUGGACUGUUAAAUUUAUGAGAUUGAUAAUUAUUUCUGCUGUAAUAGUUAAAUUGUGUUUGAGUUUUAGCUUAAAUAGAAAGGAGGAAGAUGUAGAAGCAUUUUAAUGAUACCUUUUCCAAAUUGAGUAUAUAAUUAGUCACAAAACAGGCUUCAACAGAUACAAGAAGACUGAAAUAAUCCCAUACAUAAUAUCAGAUCACCACGGACUAAGGCUGGUCUUUAAUAACAACAAAAAGAAGGGAAAGCCCAUAUACACAUCGAAACUGAACAAUGCUCUAGUCAAUGAUAACUUGGUCAAGGAAGAAAUAAAGAACGAAAUUAAAGACUUUUUAGAAAUUAAUGAUAAUGAAGGCACAAUAUAACCAAACUUUUGGGACACAAUGGAAAUCAACCUAUAUAAUCCACUAUCUAACAAAGUAGAAGAAAAUAAAAAACAAACGAAGAGCCCUGACAAGACAUUUUGAGACAAGGGACCUUCAAAGAGCUCUCUAGCUCAUUUUCUGUUUGCCAUAUACUGCUGGCUUAACCUUAAGAGUACUUUGUUUCUUCGGUCUUGUGAAGAUUCUAUGCCCCAGUAUAGGGGAAUGCCAGGGCCAGGAAGUGGAAGUGGGUGGGUUGGGGAGCAGGGGAGGGGAAAGGGUAUAGGGGAUUUUCGGAGAGGAAACUAGGAAAGGGGAUAGCAUUUAAAAUGUAAAUGAAGAAAACAUCUAAUAAAAAUGUCUUUUUCUUUAAAAAAAAAGAAAGUAUUAACGACAUGAAGAAAAAAAAAAGAGUACUUUGUUUCUCCAGUGAGACUCCUUUAAAGGGAACUAAAUUUUCCUUUUCCCGUUGGAGGUAGCUUCUGGGUUAGGUAAGGAGGGCAUGAGUCUACUUCUACUUUCAGCUCUAGGAUCUCAACGGGUAUAGGCUUUUCAGGCCAAGCUGUCUUAGAACAAGUUUACAGGUGUAUCUAUCUUGUUUAUUUAGAGGGCUCUGUAUUCUUGGUGCCCAUAGGUGUGUGGAUUUAUGAAUGGGUCUUCAAUUUGAUUCAGCUGAUUAAUAGAUCUCUUUAUGUGCCAUGUUGUUUUUAUUACUACAGCUCAGUAGUACAACUAGAAAUCAAUACAACUGGCUUUGUGAGUUGGUUUUAUAUCCAGAUACUUUGCUGAGUUUACUAGUGCAGUUUUUAGAGUCACUUGUGUAUACUAUCCUAUAUCUGCAAACAAAAAUACCUUGCUUUUUCCUUUCCAAUUUGUACCCCCCUAAUUUUCUUCAAUUUUCUUAUUGCUCUACCUAAGAUUUCAAAUUCUAUAAAUAUUUAUGAAGAGAGUGAUCAGUUUUUUCCUGUUUUUAAUUGUAGUGGAAUUGUUUUGAGUUUCUCCCCAUUUAAAUUGAUAGCCAUGGGCUUCCUAUAAAUUGGCUUUGUUAUGUUGAGGCAUAUCUCUUGUAUGUAUCUGUAAUCUCUCCAGUGCAUUUAUUAUAAAUGGAUGUUAAAUUUUAUCAAAGACAUUUUCUGCACCUAAUGAGAAUAUCAUGCAUUUUUUUUGUCUUUUAGUCUGUUUAUAUGGUGGAUUAGAUUUAUGGAUUUAUGUAUGUUGACCAUUGGUAUGUUGACCUAGUGUAGCUCUGGGAUGAAGCCUACUUGAUCAUGGUAGAUGAUCUUUUAGAUGUGUUCUUGCUUUAUGUUUUUAAGUAUUUUAUUGAGACGUUUUUGCAUCUAUGUUCAUAAAAGAAAUUGGUAUGUAAUCUUCUUUUACUGUUGACUCUUUAUAUGAUUUGGGUAUCAGCAUAUCUGUGGUCUUGUGAAACAAAUUAGACAAUGUUCUUUCCGUUUUAAUUUUGUGGAAUAAUUUGAGGAGCAUUGGCAUUAACUCUUCUUUGAAAUUCUGGUAGAAUUCUGUGCUAAAACCAUCUGGUCCUGGGUUUGCUUUUGUUAGAUGAAUUUUAAUUUCUGCUCAAUAUAUAAGGAAUAUACCUCAACAUGAAGCAUGUAUUCAUAUCCUCUUUGAAUUAUUAGAUUAAGUUCAUGAUUGCUACUUUGAAAUCAUUGUCUUAUAUGUCAUCUAAAUUGCUUUUUUUUUUGGAAGACUUUACAAUGAGAGUACC
ensembl:lincRNA Gm35507 predicted gene, 35507